UACGGGGGGGGCAAGCGUUGUUCGGAAUUACUGGGCGUAAAGGGCUCGUAGGCGGCCAACUAAGUCAGACGUGAAAUCCCUCGGCUUAACCGGGGAACUGCGUCUGAUACUGGAUGGCUAGAGGUUGGGAGAGGGAUGCGGAAUUCCAGGUGUAGCGGUGAAAUGCGUAGAUAUCUGGAGGAACACCGGUGGCGAAGGCGGCAUCCUGGACCGAGACUGACGCUGAGGCGCGAAAGCCAGGGGAGCAAACGGG
rnacentral:rRNA from 1 species